AGUGAUUUUUAGCUCCAGAGUAUGGACAUACUUUAUCUGCCCAACACAGUCAAUGUAACUUCUAACUUUAUCAACAUCAACUGAAGAACUCUUUUAGAAUACAGGAGCAGAUAUCUGCCACUGUGAUGAUUAAGAUGGACUGGUCUUGACUGGCUUGUGAGCCUCCAAAGAUGAGCCUUCUUCCCCCACCUUUCCCGGCUAUUCUAUCUGACAAGCCUUCAGAGCAUCAAGAAAGCUGUUCCUGACCCCCAAAGGUUGAAUCCACAGAGCAGCACCCACCCACCUUAUCCAUGGUAUUCUGGGCGCAGAACUAUUCACCCUCAAAAGAGACACAAGAAAUUGACCACAGUUAGGUGCUGAAAUUUUCUUUCAGUUACAAAUGCAAAUGACGGAAGAUGGAGAGAGAAGAAUGUGUGAGGAAAGUACCUGGCUGUAAUCCACACUGACCUCUAGUGACUUACAUCACUUGUGUGCCCUCCCAUAGGUGACAACUAGUUGUGUACUCACUCCAUCAAGCAAGAAGAGUGAGAAAUGAGGUCUAGUGGUAGGAGAAAACAAAAUACUCAAUCAUGGUGGAGAGGUAGCCACCCCUGCUGUCUCUUCUAUACAGCUUCAUGGCACCAUAGCAGAGGCUCAGAAACAAAAGGAGGAAAAAAAUUAUAUGACAAUGAGGCAGUUUCCCAAAGUGUUUAUUUUCACGUGCUGAUCAGGAAUGACAUCAAACAUUCAAUUGCUUAUUCUCUGUGCAUUUAUUGCAUGCUUACUAUUUACAUAGCAAACUCAAGAAAGUAUGACUUCCACCCACUGGCAAGGGUCAUACUUAAAAUGUAGUUAAAUUUUUUCUACCUUGUCAAAAAGUUUAAAAUAAAAACCAAAAUACAGCCUUUAAAACUC